AUGAUUAGAGCAAAGUAUUUGAAAAAGAAAACUUUGACUCAAUGUGAAUCAUCUCCUGGCAACUCCCAUUUCUGGAAUGGUUUGAUGGAGGUUAAAGAUAUUUUUUAUAGAUGCUGCCAGAGAGUUGUGGGUGAUGGUCGCAAAACUAGAUUUUGGGAGGAUGUUUGGUUAAGAGACAACCCCCUAUGUUUGGUUUUCCCACGUCUUUACAACUUG
rnacentral:rRNA from 1 species